rnacentral:rRNA from 1 species
CAGCAGUCGCCGCGGUAAUACGGAGGGUGCAAGCGUUAAUCGGAAUUACUGGGCGUAAAGCGCACGCAGGCGGUCUGACAAGUCAGAUGUGAAAUCCCCGGGCUUAACCUGGGAACUGCAUUUGAAACUGUCAGGCUGGAGUCUUGUAGAGGGGGGUAGAAUUCCAGGUGUAGCGGUGAAAUGCGUAGAGAUCUGGAGGAAUACCGGUGGCGAAGGCGGCCCCCUGGACAAAGACUGACGCUCAGGUGCGAAAGCGUGGGGAGCAAACAGGAUUAGAUACCCCAGUAGUCCCUGUCUCUUAUAC